CGCAGCUAGCAGUCGGUGAUUUCUGACGUGGCAUCAUCAAGAUUCACACAUUACAUUGCAUGCAUGCAUAUGUCUAUGCAUCUUUGAGCUUGUUGUUCUGAUCUCAACAACCUAGCUAGCUAAUAUUUCUCUCCUGGCCCUGACCUGCAUGAUGCAUGGUUGCACGCAUGGAGAGAGAAGAGAGAGAUCGAAGCUAAUUAAACGCAUGUGUAUAUAUGUGUGGGAAUCUUGAUGAUGCUGCAUCGGAAAUUAAUGACUAAGCAUCAGCUU
rnacentral:pre_miRNA from 1 species